rnacentral:lncRNA from 1 species
GAUAAAUAUCGGCUUUCACAUAUUGUCACGCCGGGGUGUUUUAGCUUGUAGUACGGUAUUAGUUUAAACAUUUGAUCAUAGUUGAAUAAAUCCCGUACGACGUUGACCCAUAGUUACUGUAGUUUACAUCCUCGUCCGUUUGUUAUUGUUGGGUCACUGUCUCAUUUUCAAUCCUACAACAUAUCCGGUAUAACAAUCGAGCUUGUAAGAAUCUCAGCC